rnacentral:rRNA from 4 species
GGGUUGUCAUGCCAAUGGCACUGCCCGGUAGCUAAAUGCGGAAGAGAUAAGUGCUGAAAGCAUCUAAGCACGAAACUUGCCCCGAGAUGAGUUCUCCCUGAGACUUUAAGUCUCCUGAAGGAACGUUAAAGACGAUGACGUUGAUAGGCCGGGUGUGUAAGCGCAGCGAUGCGUUGAGCUAACCGGUACUAAUGAACCGUGAGGCUUAACCUUACAACGCCGAAG